rnacentral:rRNA from 1 species
UACGUAGGGUGCGAGCGUUGUCCGGAAUUACUGGGCGUAAAGAGCUCGUAGGUGGUUUGUCGCGUUGUUCGUGAAAACCGGGGGCUUAACCCUCGGCGUGCGGGCGAUACGGGCAGACUGGAGUACUGCAGGGGAGACUGGAAUUCCUGGUGUAGCGGUGAAAUGCGCAGAUAUCAGGAGGAACACCGGCGGCGAAGGCGGCACUCUGGGCCGGUACUGACGCUGAGGAGCGAAAGCGUGGGUAGCAAACAGG